UACGUAGGGGGCAAGCGUUGUCCGGAUUUACUGGGCGUAAAGAGCGUGUAGGCGGCCAAGCAGGUCCGUUAUGAAAACUGGAGGCUUAACCUCCAGACGUCGACGGAAACCGCGUGGCUAGAGUCCGGAAGAGGAGAGUGGAAUUCCUGGUGUAGCGGUGAAAUGCGCAGAUAUCAGGAAGAACACCAAUGGCGAAGGCAGCUCUCUGGGACGGUACUGACGCUGAGACGCGAAAGCGUGGGGAGCGAACAGG
rnacentral:rRNA from 1 species